rnacentral:rRNA from 1 species
AACGAACGCUAGCGGCAUGCCUAACACAUGCAAGUCGAACGAGACCUUCGGGUCUAGUGGCGCACGGGUGCGUAACGCGUGGGAAUCUGCCCUUGGGUUCGGAAUAACAGUUGGAAACGACUGCUAAUACCGGAUGAUGUCUUCGGACCAAAGAUUUAUCGCCCAGGGAUGAGCCCGCGUAAGAUUAGCUAGUUGGUGGGGUAAAGGCCUACCAAGGCGACGAUCUUUAGCUGGUCUGAGAGGAUGAUCAGCCACACGGGGACUGGGACACGGCGCAGACUCCUACGGGAGGCGGCGGGGGGGAAUAUUGGACAAUGGGCGCAAGCCUGAUCCAGCAAUGCCGCGUGAGUGAUGAAGGCCUUAGGGUUGUAAAGCUCUUUUACCCGGGAUGAGAAUGACAGUACCGGGAGAAUAAGCCCCGGCUAACUCCGUGCCAGCAGCCGCCGUAA